ACUCCUACGGGGGGCAGCAGUGGGGAAUUUUGCGCAAUGGGGGAAACCCUGACGCAGCAACGCCGCGUGAGUGAUGAAGGCCCUUGGGUCGUAAAGCUCUGACAGAGGGAAAGAAAUGUGGGUGGCUAAUAUCCAUACCACUUGACGGUACCCUCAAAGGAAGCACCGGCUAACUCCGUGCCAGCAGCCGCGGUAAUACGGAGGGUGCGAGCGUUGUUCGGAUUUAUUGGGCGUAAAGCGCGCGUAGGCGGUUUUAUAAGUCUGAUGUGAAAGCCCCGGGCUCAACCUGGGAAGUGCAUUGGAUACUGUAAGACUUGAAUACGGGAGAGGGCAGUGGAAUUCCUAGUGUAGGAGUGAAAUCCGUAGAUAUUAGGAGGAACACCGGUGGCGAAGGCGGCUGCCUGGACCGAUAUUGACGCUGAGACGCGAAAGCGUGGGUAGCAAACAGGAUUAGAUACCCUGGUAGUCCACGCUGUAAACGAUGAGAACUAGGUGUCGCGGGUA
rnacentral:rRNA from 1 species